rnacentral:lncRNA from 1 species
CCACAUAAUUUGGUCUACCAGAUUUGCAUACGGAGACUUUGUCAAAUGGGCAGUCUAUUGAAUAUGCUAAAAGAAUUAUCAUUUAUUUUAAAUUUUAAUUAUAUUAAAUAAAUAGUUUAUGGAAUGGAUCAAGAUUCGUGGAUUUGGUACCAAACUCCAUAUCGGUGAUACGAAUAAGUAUGGAUCCCUAUUGGAUCCGAUUUGUGCGAAUUAACACAGAGGAGAAAGAAAUCGGAAUGAGAAAAAGAGAGAGAGGAGGG